GCGUUAGCUGGUCCAACACGUUAUUUGUUGGCCCAAGAAACAAUGGAUUGCGGAAGAACACAGAAUUGGAAAAAAUAUACAUACGAAACCCAACCACAUAGCUCACGUUUUCCCCCAUAACAUGCCUUUCUUCUCAACCUUCUUCCGCUGUUUCUCUGAUCAUGAACAAACCAAACAAUACGUCUGCAACAGCCAGGUCUGUGUAAUCAAGGACCCAGCAGCGUCCACGCCCAACCGGAAAAAGAAGAAGAAUACAGGAAGAGGGUUUGCUUGUAAAACAGGGGAAAAUGGUGUCUUGUAACCAUAUAAGAAGAGUUGUACUGAUUUUUUUUUACCCAAAAAAGAGGGGAAUUUGUGGUAUAUAUUCAUAGAUAUGGGUGGAAACACAUGUGUAUAAUUCAUAUGUAUAAUGUCUUUUUUUUUUUU